AACGCACAUUGCGCCCCUUGGUAUUCCGGGGGGCAUGCCUGUUCGAGCGUCAUUACACCACUCAAGCCUGGCUUGGUAUUGGGCGCCGCGGCCCCGCCGCGUGCCCUAAUGUCUUCGGCUGAGUCGUCUGUCCUCCAGCGUUGUGGUAACAUAUCCGCUGCCGGGAUCGACGGCUCAUCGCCGUCAAACCCUUUUACUCAAGGUUGACCUCGGAUCAGGUAGGGAUACCCGCUGAACUUAA
rnacentral:misc_RNA from 1 species